rnacentral:rRNA from 1 species
CGUCUAAGAAUCGGUCCACAAGCAGCUAGACGCUCGGCCAAAUUCGACUUAACCGGCCAGGUUAAGUUGUGCCUCGGUUCACAUACAGCUUUGAAAAGCAAGAGUGGUCACGAGAAAGCCGAUAGGAGAGUAAAGCGCAAUCGUCGACAGCUACUCCUCAACGAUAAGAAGAAGAAGAGAGACACCCUAAAGGUCUCGCCGCACCUCCGUGCGCCACCGGCCGUGGGACUGAGACUCGCCGUAGGCGUUGGUUGUGGUGGUGGUCGUGUCAGACGCGAUGGACGGGGAGUCCGGAGGGCACGGCGGGUAACGGGAACCGGAACGACUCGCAAAGAAGAGAAGGAGGAGUGGGUUCGCGAGGUGGUUCUCUAGGCGCCGCUUCUUCCCGUACGGCGGCGGCUACCUGAGACGGCCGCCGCUGGGCAAGAUACAGCAGGCGUUCCCCCUACAGUAGCCGUAGAUGUUCUUGGAGCGGCUGACGGUUCGAGUUCAGUCGUUAAGCCAGACGCUAGGAAGACACUGACACAUGUUUCCGAUAAGAGAGGCGUUUCUGCGGCUCCUCAUAGAGCGCCGGGCACCCAACUUCUUACGAGACAUAAGGUAAUUACGUCGUCUACGUUCUCUACUUAACAAACUACUAGACCGAGGGACGGGAAAGGUCGUUGGACUACCUUGGAGAUGAAACUUUUCCGGUGUCCUCUGCCUUUGGCCUGGUAGUUUCUUCGUAGGGUUUCAGCGACUUGUCCUCGAUAAUGGACUAUCAGUAGAUAGGACGUAAGAACUUAAACUACCACGUACGUUUCCUUUAGGGCCCUUUAGUCCGCGGCCACAUCAUCAUUCCGCCAGUCUACCUAGACACUAACGAGUUGAUGCACUCCCAAACCCAUAACGUUGCUUAUUGCGACGACUUAUAGCACGUAACGAGGACCCCAACUCUAUACGACGAUUCUUCCCUAAGUUCAUACAAGCACGAGUUCCGCUAAGAUUCGAACAGACAUUGGUCCAAGUUCUAGAGACCGCACAAUCCUUACUAUUAUACCGACUGAACACGUUCUUUCAGUUCCUUGACUUCCCUUUAAAAGAAGUCAAAGUUUAGUUGGUACACAACUCCCUUAAAUUACGCCUACGACUACGGGUUCGAUUAAAACGACAACUUGAAGGACAACCACUUUAAGUUCUCGUCAGUUUGAAGUGUACGAUCACCGACACGAAGUCUCAUCAAACGCCGCGGAAAAAAGAACGAGUAAAGUGUUACUGUCUUUGUCCCUAAGUAACAACUCGUCGACCACGCAUCAAACGUCAACUAGGCAUAAAUGCUGCUCCUCAGCUCUACAACCCCAUUCGUCUCCCUUGACACAGAUCUAAAAACCUACUCGUCGAAGUCAUCGGACCGUGAUCACAAAUCGGAUAUGACUAUAAUACGCAUGACGUAUGUUGCAGUCUAUGAUAAAACAUCGUAUCAAUUUAAGCAUUCCCUUUCUUUCUACGAUGACGACGUUAUACAGACAGAAAAUUGCAACAAGUCUCAGCGCUACCUUCGUAUAAUACGUAUGUUUUUUUGAACGUC